CAUCAAAGAAAUGCUUAUGACACAGGCAGACCGGUUCAGUCAAGAAGAGAUCAACCAGAUGUUUGCUGCUUUCCCUCCAGAUGUCUCUGGUAAUCUUGACUAUAAGAACCUCUGUUACGUUAUCACCCAUGGUGAGGAGAAAGACUAAGAGGAAAGAGAUGAGCUUCUCCUGUGAUGAUGCACCAAGUUAUUUCAUAAUGCUUUUGUGUGCAAGACAAAGGGCUAAACAUUCAGUAUGUGAAGCCAUGUGGUCAUCAGAAGAGAACCAAUAAAACAAUUGAAAUUAGAUUAAAGUUAUUUAAUGCUCCUGUUUUUAUAAAAGAUGAAAAUACCAAUUUUGUGAGUUUUUUCCCAUCCUUUCUUUUUUCUGUCAGUGGUUUGAAAUGGAAUUUUCUUGAUGAACUGGUGCUUUUGUGAUUUAUUGACAAUCCUAAUGUUCACCAGAUGGUCCAUUGGGCACUGCAGUGUUGCUUAACCUCUUGUAUUUUAUACAUAAAUAUUGUAUUAAUUGAGAAAUCCUCUAACUUAAUGCACCAGGAAUAGUAUUUGGUAAAUAGAAUUCUGUUCCAUUUCA